CCUACGGGUGGCUGCAGUGAGGAAUAUUGGUCAAUGGACGGAAGUCUGAACCAGCCAUGCCGCGUGCAGGAAGACGGCUCUAUGAGUUGUAAACUGCUUUUGUACAAGGGUAAACCUGAAUAGGUAUAUUCAGCUGAAAGUACGGUACGAAUAAGGAUCGGAUAACUCCGUGCGAGCAGCCGCGGUAAUACGGAGGAUCCAAGCGUUAUCCGGAUUUAUUGGGGUUCAAGGGUGCGUAGGCGGUUUGAUAAGUUAGAGGUGAAAUGUCCGAGCUUAACUCGGGAACUGCCUCUCAUACUGUUGAUCUAUAGUGUAUGUGCGGUAGGCGGAAUGUCUGGUGUAGCGGUGAUAUGCUUAGAGAUCAUACAGAACUCCGAUUGCGACGGCAGCUUACCAAGCUAUAUCUGACGUUGAGGCACGAACGCGUGGGGAGCAAACAGGAUUAGAUACCCUGGUAGUC
rnacentral:rRNA from 1 species